rnacentral:lncRNA from 1 species
UGUUAUCUGUUUUCUUCAAAUAUGUAUAUUUUCUUUCAUAUUCCUUUGGGAAGUCGUGGUUUUCUACCAUUUAUCACUCAAGUGGCGGAUCAGUUUUAAGGGUUGUUAGAAAUGAAUAAAAUUAUGAACAUGGAACGGAAAUGGUAAGCAGGACACAUCGAAAUUAGUGAAAUUUAUUGGAAAAAUGUUCAUCGAUUGCCUCAAUUUCACUAGCUAGAACUACCAACAUGCCUUUGAAUUGUGGAAUUGUUCAACUCUCCUACAUAUAAGACGGAACAUGGAACCAGUCAAAACUCUACACUCAUCAGUUGGCCGGAACGCUUAUUAAAAAUGUGACUGGGAUCAGUUUGAAGGAUUGUUAGAAAUGAAUAAAGUUAUAAACGUGGAACGGAAAUUGUAAGCAUCGAAAUUUAUUGGAAAAAUGUUCAUCGAUUGCCUCAUACUCUGUGGUAUUCGAUUACUAACAUGCCUUUGAAUUAUGGAACUGUUCAACUCUUGCAUAUAAGGAGACUGCAACUAGAGAAGAAAAUACCCAUCGAAACCUCUGAAAUAUCUUGGAAAUAUAGUUAGUUCAAAUUUGACAGUAACCAUUAUUUCCUAAUAUCGAAUUGCGUCCUUCGCCUAUGUUCUUUCAUCCAUUCAUCCAAGAUUUUUUAGUGUUACCUGCUUCUUCAAGUCGUCAUGAAGUUCUACCAACUUCCACUGUCAUAUGGCCUGAAUUCUUUUCCUGGGGGCGCUUACCACUUUAUUUGAUUUUUUUUUUUUAUUAAUUGAGCAUAGUGAGAAAAAGUGGAUUUAUUGAAUAUGUAUUGUGUAUAGUAUCAAGUCGUUCAUUUAAGUUGUUUUGGUAUAUUUACUGACUUUCAGUAUAAACAGUUGAAUUUCAAAUUUGAAUACCUACUUACCUUCUCAUUGAAAUUUUUUGUUUAACAUGC